rnacentral:rRNA from 1 species
CAGCCGCCGCGGUAAUACGGGCAAGGCAAGCGUUAUACCGAAUGGCUCGCCGCGAAGCGCCCAAAGACUGGAGAGUAAGUUACAUGUAAAAUUUUAAAGCUUAACUUUAAAUUGCCAUAUAAUACUGCUCUACUAGAGUUUUAUAAAGAAGAAUAGAAUUUUAAACGAAGGGUUAAUUACCUGAAGAUUUUUAGAGGAAUAUCGACAGCGAAGGCAAUUCUUUAGUAAAAACUGACGUUGAGGGACGAAAGUAUAGGUAGCAAACAGGAUUAGAUACCCUGGUAGUCUAUACUGUAAAUCAUGAGUGCUGUAAUUUGACGAAUGAAAUUUUAGUUAGAUUUUUAAGCUAACGCCAUAAGCACUCCGCCUGAGAAGUACGGCCGCAAGGUUAGAACUCAAAGGAAUUGACGGGGCUUACUACUAAUGGUGGAACAUGUGGUUUAAUGCGAUAAUCCGCGCAAAACCUUACCAACCCUUGACAUAAAAAAAACUAAAAAAUUUACUCCUUUGUAGUCUUUUUUAUUUUUUACAGGAGUUGCACGACUGUCGUCAGCUCGUGUUGUGAAACGUUAGGUUCAUUCCUUUUAACGAGCGCAACUCUUACCUUUAAUUUUUGAAGGUUUACUUAUUAUUAAAUUUACAGUUAAAAUUUAAAAUAGCUUUGAGGUACAGCCACCAUAAGUUGGAAGAAGGUGAGAAUUAAGUCAAGUCAUGUGGCCCUUAUGGGUUGGGCUACACACGUGUUACAAUGGGAAUUACAGCAGGA